rnacentral:sRNA from 1 species
AUCUCAGAUCGUGUCUAAGUCCCUUUAAGGUCUUUCGUUUUCAACGUAAGACCAUAUUGGUUUUGUUCGUUUUUUCCUACUGUUAUUUCUUUUUCCUACAAAAUAUGAUUAAAUUAUUUCUCGAAAACGGAUUGGCUCGGCCGAUUUUUAUAAAACUUGCACAUUUGAUACACAUUGAUCUGAACUUGACAACAUUUUUUUGGAUGACGUCCUUUUUUUGAGAUAAUGACGCGAUUUUCAGACGGUCGGCUUGCAUUGUCCAGUGAUCUCCUCCUAAACGGUAAAAUAUUUCAAGUUAAAACUUUUGGAAAUUGUAGACAGAUAUUGUAGAUGUGUCAUUUGGCAUUUUAUAUUUGUCAUGCUCAAAAAACGUUGAAGAUCGCAUGGUCCCGAAAAAUAAGAUUAAAAAUCGUCGUAAUUGUUCCUGAUUUGUUUAAUCUCGACUGAAUUCAAAAGCCACUGCUAUUCCCAAAAAUUGACAGACAUUGUCUGACAUCCACUGUAUAUUCACUGUACCCUACUGUAAAUCCACUGUACACCCACUGUACAGAUCUACUGUACCACACUGUACAGAGCCACUGUACUCCACUGGACAGCACUGUACCUACCCACUGACCAGCACUGUACCUCACUGUACACCACUGUACGGGGCACUGACCAGCACUGUAUCCCACUAUACACCACUGUACAGGGUACUGACAAACACUGUACACCACUGUAACCCACUGUACCAAUGUUUUUAUAAGUUAUUUAUAUGCUUGAACAAUGAAUUGAAUAUUUACUUUAUUUGAGAUCAAAAUCUGGAUUUGUUUUGAUUCUUUCCUAUUGCUUACAAGAGAGAAAAUGGGCUUCUAUUUCUUUAAGUUCACAUAUAAUUACAUGCUAGGUCAGGAUUAUUUUCUAGGGAAAGGGCAGGGAUAUCAUCGAUUUCUGGGGGAGCUUAGACAUAUUUUGGAUAGUUGUACAAUGUAAGUUUUAAAAAAUUGAAUUAUCCUCUGCUCCCCCUCCCCUAUCCUCCGAUCCAUGCAUGUAUUAAAAACUCAGAAUCCAAUUAUCAUACAAAAAAAAGCAACUUAUCCACUUUAAAGGGGAGAGUAUUUAUAUAUAUUUCAAUGUCAAUUUUCUAGUAACUAAAUAUUUAGUUGGUUUUUUUUUUUUUAACAAUGAAUUUGAUUUUAUCAAUAUUGUCAAAUAAAUAUUAGUUUACAUGUAACAUUAAAGUUUUAAAAUUCAGAGAAUUUAAAACUAUGUAUUACAUUUUAUAGAUAAAAAAAAUCCACCAUAUUGCACAACAUACUGAUUUUUUUUUUCAAGUGAGAGAAGAUAACCAACUGGUCUAUACUUUAAAAUGUCUUUGAAGUUUUACUUCACAUGAAGAUCCGUGGGUCAGUGUCUGUGUAUGGUAUACAUACUUUCAAUAAAUCAAAAGGUGUGAAUGUCGUAAUAUUCAACCUUGUAAAUUGUCAGUCUGACACCUUGUUCAAGAUAUUAUGUAAUUCCCUUAUAGGGGUAUUUGUGGUCUUUAGAGUAUUAAAUCCAGUUGAAAUAUAUAUUUUUAAAAAUAUAACAUGUAUGAAUAAACGAAAUUAUCUUUAUAUUC